rnacentral:rRNA from 1 species
CUACGGGAUGCAGCAGCAGGGAAUAUUGCACAAUGGACGGAAGUCUGAUGCAGCGACGCCGCGUGGAUGAUGAAGGCCCUCGGGUUGUAAAAUCCUUUUCAGGGGGACGAGGCAGGACGGUACCCUUGGAAUAAGCGUCGGCUAACUACGUGCCAGCAGCCGCGGUAAGACGUAGGACGCAAGCGUUAUCCGGAUUUACUGGGCGUAAAGCGUCUGUAGGCGGAAUGGUAAGUUGGGCGUGAAAGCUCCGGGCUUAACUCGGAGAGGACGUUCAAUACUGCCAAACUAGAGGGCAUCAGAGGAGCGUGGAAUUUCCGGUGUAGCGGUAAAAUGCGCAGAUAUCGGAAGGAACACCAAUGGCGAAGGCAGCGCUCUGGGAUGAACCUGACGCUAAGAGACGAAAGCUAGGGGAGCGAACAGGAUUAGAUACCCUAGUAGUC